rnacentral:rRNA from 1 species
UACGGGGGGGGCAAGCGUUGUUCGGAAUUACUGGGCGUAAAGGGCUUGUAGGCGGCCAACUAAGUCAGACGUGAAAUCCCUCGGCUUAACCGGGGAACUGCGUCUGAUACUGGAUGGCUAGAGAUUGGGAGAGGGAUGCGGAAUUCCAGGUGUAGCGGUGAAAUGCGUAGAUAUCUGGAGGAACACCGGUGGCGAAGGCGGCAUCCUGGACCAACACUGACGCUGAGGAGCGAAAGCCAGGGGAGCAAACAGG